AGAGCAGAUACAGUUCUCAGCAGCUUAAUCAGGUCUUAUAUCUAUAUUGUAUCUGCUUAGGCCAAACGACCAACACCAUCACGGUAUAACUGAUUCCACUAGUGUAACAAAUAGCUCAAAUUAAUUAAUCUGUAAUUAGUGUUCCCUCCGGUAUGAGAAACUUUUCCAUGCAUGAAUCAUGUCCCUUGAUCUGUCUUAAGCAGAUAAUGAUUUUAGAAAUGUUGUUUAUUUCCAACUCGUACUGUGUGAGUAAAAGUGACGUAAAGCCAACGUUUACUUUGUAUGUGCUCUCACUAUACGUGUAAAUAGAAAAUAAAACUGAUCAUCACCCCUACCGGCCCAUUGUGGUUUUUGACAAUUGUCAAUAAAGAUUUGUUUGAAACCUCAGAGGCAGGUAGAAGUUUGUUUACUAGCAAUGAUGGUAACAAGGCAUAAAUGCUGCCUUGAUCAUCUGAGCCAUCCUGUGUGCCGAAAGUUGUUUAGAGAAAGGAAGAUGUGGACAGUAUGGAGCGUCCAUUUUGCAAAGAGAAUUGGAGUAUGAGGAGAGAGCUAAAACCAGAAGCAAAGGAAAAAAAGAGGACAUGUGGAGCGGGAGAGAUUGAUGGACCUCGGAGGGGAGAGAAUUCAGUUCCUGAAAGACUUUUGAGAAAAGCAUGCUUGUUUCCAUUCUAGGCUGAAGGGAACAUUUCAGAAGAUUACAUUUACAGUUGAGAAGAUUACAGCCAUGGUGUGACUGUAAAUCAAAAUGUGUAAGUUGAUAUAUUGUAAGCAAAAAAGAAAGAUUUUACAAAACCUUUUUAUUAAAGUGACAAUAUAUGCUGUAGUAUGCAAACAUAGUAAAGGAAAAUGCUUUUAGUUG